rnacentral:rRNA from 1 species
CCUACGGGUGACUGCAGUCGAGAAUCAUUCACAAUGGGGGAAACCCUGAUGGUGCGACGCCGCGUGGGGGAAUGAAGGUCUUCGGAUUGUAAACCCCUGUCAUGUGGGAGCAAAUUAAAAAGAUAGUACCACAAGACGAAGAGCCGGCUAACUCUGUGCCAGCAGCUGCGGUAAUACAGAGGUCUCAAGCGUUGUCCGGAAUCACUGGGCGUAAGGCGUGCGUAGGCUGUUUCGUAAGUCGUGUGUGAAAGGCGCGGGCUCAACCGGCGGACGGCACAUGAUACUGCGAGACUAGAGUAAUGGAGGGGGAACCGGAAUUCUCGGUGUAGCAGUGAAAUGCGUAGAUAUCGAGAGGAACACUCGUGGCGAAGGCGGGUUCCUGGACAUUAACUGACGCUGAGGCACGAAGGCCAGGGGAGCGAAAGGGAUUAGAUACCCCUGUAGUC